AGUUAUGUGGCAGAGACUGGAACUAGAGAGCUAGGCUCUGACUGGUCUACUACAGCAAGGAAUGUGCCAGGGGCCAAUCUGAUGAACAUGUGGCAGAAGAUUUGGCAAUGGGUGAAGAAACACUGAGAUUGAAAUGCAACCACAGGUGGAGGCUUCACCCAAACUUUUCAGACGGAUGCGAGAUACAAAGUUACCCAAGUAUAAAUGGUUGAAGGUUUUGGAGAGCCAGACAAGAAGGCAGGAAAUGUGAUGUCACUUGUAAGUUAAAACACUCUUAAUUAUGACUGCCUCACUU
rnacentral:lncRNA from 1 species